UCCCGCUUCCCCCCUCCCCAACACAGGACGGUAUCUACAGCAUCCCCUGGUCGCGGGCGCGGCCCGGGGGAAGUUGGGGCACUGACCCACCGCUGCCUGGGCACAGAGGGUGGAGGGCGAGGGGAUCCCUCCAGCUCCCUCCCCGGACCGUCCCAGGGGCUCUGCCUGCGAGGCCUCCUUCGUGCGUGGUAGGAACCGCGCUCCUCCGCGCCCGCUUCAAUCAAGCUCCGAGCCCUCUCGUGUUUUCUUUUUGCGGGGGUGCGUGUUGGGUCCCCCCCCUCUCGCCCUUCCCCCCCAGGCCAUCGGCCCCGCACAGUGCAGCCACCAGAGCCGGCGUCCCCAGCAGCAAAGGGCCUGGACAGGGCCCUGCCAGCAGACAGAGCUCGCUUCCUUCCUGGGGAGUGAGGGUGGAGAUUUGCGGGGGGCUGCUGCUCCUACUCAAUAUUCCCGCAGGCUGCGUUAAAAUCAAGCCCCUGGGCAAACCGAAGGGGAAAUGGCCUUUCCUGUGCCCAGUUUCCCAACGCCCAGCGCCUGAAAGGGAGAGGGGCGAUUUUUUUCCUUGGGGAGGGGGGGAAGGAAAUUAGAGGGGGUGGGGAGGCAGAAGAAAAAGGCCUGGACGCUGCGCUCGCUUUCAAAUGCAACCAGGUCCCAUUGUGCCCGAGACCAAAGGCAAUUAAACCAUUGAGGCCAUUUCCGAGCUGGCGCCGCCGGGACAGGGAAGUGACAAGAGCUCCCCAGAAGAAGACCCAGAGCUGCACCGCAGACGUGCGAAGAGAGCACUUCCCAGCCCCUUCCUUCGCCGCGUUUCUUAUGGCUGGCAGCCCGCUGCCUUGUCGCUUUGCCGCUGGCAAGAUGAUUUGUCUGCGCUUGGGAGGCUUGCCCCCUUGGCAGUAAGAUAUUGUGGCAAAAACGUCUAUUUUUCGCCAGAAGGGAAAACUGCCAGGUUAGACAGCCCCUCCUAAUGCUGGAAGAGGAAUCAAAUUACAAGAUUGGGCAUCGGUGGGAAGGCAGAUACUUUCUUCUUCGGAAGCUCCAACAACGUGACACCCAGUCUGACGGUGGUGGAUUUUUUUAAGUUUUACCUGACGGAUACCGGAAGCGAUGCUUUCCUGGCACUUCAAAAGACAACUGAAGAUUUCUAACCUGUUUGCUCUAGCAGUAAUAAGAACAGAACAAACGGAUCCCUACGUGGAAUUAAUUAGGAAGGGGAAAAGUGCUCGAUAUGUUUCACGAUUCUUUUUUGUUAAAAUCAGGGUCACGUUUUAUUAAAACGACUGUUCCCAAAAAGUGGCGAUGAGCAUCACAAUGUAGCAGUGUUCUGAUCCGCAAAAUGUGGUGAAAGUGAGUAACUGAUCCAGAGACUUUUUUGUCUAGAUAGAAUAUUUCAUUCUGCGCGGAUAAUGCACCACGACAUAAAAGCUUCCAGAAAUGUUCAUGCUGAUCGUACCAUACUCUCAUGCAUAGUUUCCAUAUCUUCACAUAAGGUCUACAAGGCGUCAUAUUUUGUGAAUGAACGGCUCCUCUGCUUUUUCCAACGGUGAACAGACUGGGGGGAAAAUCGUUUGACGCCAGGCACAUACAAUGUAGGUUGUAUUUCUUGUGAUAGGGCUGCACAUGGAUUAGGUUUGUGGCCUCAUCGUUUUCAGUGCUUUGGAGUGAGGGUAUCAGAAUGUGGCCCGCUGAAAUCAACGUCAAAUUUCCAAAGUGACUACAAUAGGAUCAAAUCGGCCCCUUUGGCCCCAACACCUGCUAUGGGAUUUGUG